UACAGAGGUCUCAAGCGUUGUUCGGAUUCAUUGGGCGUAAAGGGUGCGUAGGUGGCGUGGUAAGUCGGGUGUGAAAUUUCGGAGCUUAACUCCGAAACUGCAUUCGAUACUGCCGUGCUUGAGGACUGGAGAGGAGACUGGAAUUUACGGUGUAGCAGUGAAAUGCGUAGAGAUCCGGAGGAACACCAGUGGCGAAAGCGGCCACCUGGACUGCACCUGACGCUGAAACGCGAAAGCUAGGGGAGCGAACGGG
rnacentral:rRNA from 1 species